AGAUUCCCCCAGUAGCGGCGAGCGAACGGGGAGGAGCCCAGAGCCUGAAUCAGUGUGUGUGUUAGUGGAAGCGUCUGGAAAGGCGCGCGAUACAGGGUGACAGCCCCGUACACAAAAAUGCACAUAUUGUGAGCUCGAUGAGUAGGGCGGGACACGUGGUAUCCUGUCUGAAUAUGGGGGGACCAUCCUCCAAGGCUAAAUACUCCUGACUGACCGAUAGUGAACCAGUACCGUGAGGGAAAGGCGAAAAGAACCCCGGCGAGGGGAGUGAAAAAGAACCUGAAACCGUGUACGUACAAGCAGUGGGAGCCUCUUAAUGGGGUGACUGCGUACCUUUUGUAUAAUGGGUCAGCGACUUAUAUUCUGUAGCAAGGUUAACCGAAUAGGGGAGCCGAAGGGAAACCGAGUCUUAACUGGGCGUUAAGUUGCAGGGUAUAGACCCGAAACCCGGUGAUCUAGCCAUGGGCAGGUUGAAGGUUGGGUAACACUAACUGGAGGACCGAACCGACUAAUGUUGAAAAAUUAGCGGAUGACUUGUGGCUGGGGGUGAAAGGCCAAUCAAACCGGGAGAUAGCUGGUUCUCCCCGAAAGCUAUUUAGGUAGCGCCUCGUGAAUUCAUCUCCGGGGGUAGAGCACUGUUUCGGCAAGGGGGUCAUCCCGACUUACCAACCCGAUGCAAACUGCGAAUACCGGAGAAUGUUAUCACGGGAGACACACGGCGGGUGCUAACGUCCGUCGUGAAGAGGGAAACAACCCAGACCGCCAGCUAAGGUCCCAAAGUCAUGGUUAAGUGGGAAACGAUGUGGGAAGGCCCAGACAGCCAGGAUGUUGGCUUAGAAGCAGCCAUCAUUUAAAGAAAGCGUAAUAGCUCACUGGUCGAGUCGGCCUGCGCGGAAGAUGUAACGGGGCUAAACCAUG
rnacentral:rRNA from 1 species